rnacentral:rRNA from 1 species
AGUGAGUAGAGCGGCGCACGGGUGAGUAACGCGUGGAUAAUCUGCCCUGAAGAUCGGGAUAACAGUUGGAAACGACUGCUAAUACCGUAUAAUCUGCAUAUUUAACUUUAUGUGGGAAAGGUGGCCUCUAUUUAUAAGCUACCGCUUUUGGAUGAGUCCGCGUCUCAUUAGCUUGUUGGUGGGGUAAUGGCCUACCAAGGCAACGAUGAGUAGCUGGUCUGAGAGGAUGAUCAGCCACACUGGGACUGAAACACGGCCCAGACUCCUACGGGAGGCAGCAGUGGGGAAUAUUGCGCAAUGGGGGAAACCCUGACGCAGCGACGCCGCGUGUAGGAAGAAGGCCUUCGGGUCGUAAACUACUGUCAAGAGGGAAGAAACUGUUAGGCAUUAAUACGGCCUUUCACUGACGGUACCUCUAGAGGAAGCACCGGCUAACUCCGUGCCAGCAGCCGCGGUAAUACGGAGGGUGCGAGCGUUAAUCGGAAUCACUGGGCGUAAAGCGUGCGUAGGCGGCGCUUCAAGUCAGGCGUGAAAGCCCUCGGCUCAACCGAGGAAUUGCGUUUGAAACUGGAGUGCUAGAGUCUCGGAGAGGUUGGCGGAAUUCCAGGUGUAGGAGUGAAAUCCGUAGAUAUCUGGAGGAACACCGGUGGCGAAGGCGGCCAACUGGACGAGUACUGACGCUGAGGUACGAAAGCGUGGGUAGCAAACAGGAUUAGAUACCCUGGUAGUCCACGCUGUAAACGAUGGAUAUUAGGUGUCGGGUUUUCAAUUCGGUGCCGCAGUUAACGCGUUAAAUAUCCCGCCUGGGGAGUACGGUCGCAAGGCUGAAACUC